rnacentral:lncRNA from 1 species
AAGAGAGCAAUUAUAUUUCAUUAAGGGUUAUGUCAAGAUUCAAGUUGGGGAGAAGUAGGUUGAAAGAAUAAUAAAUAAAUUGGUUUGAAAAAGUAGUUGAAUUGGUGAUUGAAAAUGAAAAGAAAAAAAAAAUUGUUGAAAAAGAUUUGUAUGACACAAUUGAAAUUCAAAAGAAAUGAGAAAAGAAAACAAGUUUUAUGAAGAAGUGUCAAAACAAAAGAAUCACCAUAAAAGAAAGAGGGGAAAGUGAAAGGGAGUGAAUAAAUUGGUUUUGAGGCUUUUUGAAUCCAUAGAAAAACAAUGAAUUUUUGUAGCCCAGCCCCGUUACAAGCUUUAUGAAGUCCUUAGUGAUCCACGAUUGAUAGCAUGUUUUGUGAUAUUGCUUGGAUGAAUGUUUGAAUUGAAUUGUUACGUGCACAUUGCUUGGAUUGAGUGAAACACUUGCCCUUGAGUGAUAUAGUUGUGAGGAAUUUUAGGUAACACUUGAAUCUUAAUUGUUUGAUAAGAAUGUUGAGAAUUUUGCUUAGGCAUAACAAUCACUUCAUGAUCAUGCUUUGUUUCUUUGAAUAUUUUGAGGAUUAGUCUUUAGUUGACAUUGCUUUACUCAUGUUAAAAGAAGAAGCUUUUCAAACUUUGAUUGAUC